AAAGCAUCAAGAAUACCUAGAAGAUAGGAGAAAUCUUACAGGAAGGUUUCACAGAUUAGUAGAGCUCUCUGAAGUUGAAAGGUUGAGCCAUUAGUAAAGGUAGAAGAAGGAAGAAGGAAUUAGCAAGCAAAAGAUUUUGUCAUAAAAGCAGUCCCAAACCAACAACUAUCUACCGCAGUCUUGUGUGGGAUGUUCCCAUGGCCUUCGAAGUUUCUUCUGUUCUUGGAAAGCAAAUGCUACUAUUCACAGCAGUGUGUCCUCUACACCAGGAUAAAGCCUGGCUCUUCAGGGUGAGGUAUAUGGACCUCAUGGCCUCCUCUCUUCACUGCUGUGCCUGUAGUCACCACUCAGAAGGACCAGCAAAAUAGACUGUGUUUCCUGCUGCUGUUACACAUGGACACGAGGCUUGAAGGCAAAAAGCUUCAUGGUAACAACCCCUAUGUUCUACUAGGAGCAGAAGACUGUAGGUCUGAAAGUGGUGUCAAAACUCCCUUUUUGCGAGAAGCGGGCAUAGUCAACUAUAAAAGCCUGAAGAAUAUGCUUAUUCAUCUUAUUUUUAUGGAAAGUCUUGGUGACUCACUGCAUUGGCGAGAGAAGAGGGUUUAGUUUAGUUAUUACUGUUUGUAAUUCACUUUUCCGUUAAGAUGGAAACAAAACAGAAACAACAUGUAAGAUUCCCUGAGCACAAGCGAACAUGCCUGCUGCCUCUCGGUGUUCGCAUGCCCUUUGGGCGGAGGAGCAGGGGAGCUGCGGGCACAUCCCUGAGUGAGUCGGUCACUAACUGUGAAUGAGCUGUGCCUCGGACAAGAAGAAGAAGAAGAAAAGAAGUUUCAUUCUCCUCAGGACAAGGACUUGGAGCGAUAGAAUUUCCCUCGUGGAGAAGUGAAGACAUCACGUCUAAUUGCUAGGACAUAAUGACCCCAAGGGAGAGAGCCUGGUGGUCAACGGGGCAGAAGAAAACUGACUCCCGUGUUCAGAAAGAUAGAGAGGAGAAGUGACUGAGUUCAGGGCAUGUGCAAAGAGUUCAUGCGCCCAACCACAGCCAAAAGAAGGCUCAGGAGUAUUGAGGCAAAGGAAGCAGAGAUGUCAAUGUUAGCCUAUUUUGCAUGGAUUUGUCUGUCUGAAUGCACACAGGUAUUCUCCAAGUGACUAAUAAAAGACAAAACUCUUGAAUCCAUAUUUUGUUUGCUUUCAACCAAUACAUAUUUCUGUAAAUACUGCAGUGAAUGAGAUCUGAGAACAGAUUUUUUCAAGCUCCUGGAGAAUCAGAACUAGGCUAGAUAAUAUAGAUCUAGGGAAGGAGAUGCAAUUUCAGUGAUAGUAGUGACCAGGGAAGCUGUUCCCCUCAGUGUUGAGUGCCACAGGAAGAGUGGGAGCUGAAGAUUGCUAUUAAGAAAGCACUUGGCCGCUGCACCAGCUUCUUCUAUACACAGCAAAUUUGCACAUUCAGCUCUGCUAAGGUUGUGAAAGAGAACAACAUUUGUACUAAGAGAUAAGAAAAGGAGUUAUUCUCAGUAAAGAACUCACUGCAACUCUGUUUUAUCUGUUGUUACCAAACCUGACUUCUUCUGAAAUGUGAGAGCUAGCAAGUCAAAUUAACAAUCUCUGAAUUAGGUGUUAGCGCUUUCCCUAAGGAAUGUAAACCAGCUUGCAGAGAGUUGAAACCUUCAUGCUAACAGCAUUUCCCCUUCACAUCUCGCAAUCCAAAUUUCUUUUCUCCUCAAUGAAUUUGUUGUGUUCAUGACUAAAGUGCAGGUUCCUUUUUUUCCCCUUUUUUUCCCCUCUGAGUAUUCCAAUCAGUAGAACUUUGCAUCUGAAGAAAUAAUGUAGGUUCUAGCUAAGACUUCCCACCUUUAUUUUCAACUUUUACUAUCCAGUACACAAUAUAGCAUGGAAAAUAUCAAACCUCAGAGAAAGCAAAGGACCAAGAUUGGUCAGUAAUGCAACAAGAUAAGUCUUCCAGAAAUGCUAACAAGUAAACGCUUUAGCUAGGAGGAUGCGUGGGGGUACUGGUGAGCUGUGGAGUCAAACAAGUCACACAGGGACUUAAUGGAGAAAUAAUUAUAUUUUUUGAGAGUACCUUACAAACACUAAUUAUGUCUUACUC